AGAGUUUGAUCCUGGCUCAGGAUGAACGCUAGCGGCAGGCUUAACACAUGCAAGUCGAACGGCAGCGGGGGAGGACUUCGGUCCUCCCGCCGGCGAGUGGCGCACGGGUGAGUAACACGUAUGCAACCUGCCCUUGUCUGGGGUAUAACCCUGCGAAAGCAGGGCUAAUACCGCGUAUAUGUCCCCGGGGCAUCCCGGGGACAGGAAAGGCUUCGGCCGGACAAGGAUGGGCAUGCGGCGCAUUAGGCAGUUGGCGGGGUAACGGCCCACCAAACCGACGAUGCGUAGGGGUUCUGAGAGGAAGGUCCCCCACACUGGUACUGAGACACGGACCAGACUCCUACGGGAGGCAGCAGUGAGGAAUAUUGGUCAAUGGACGCAAGUCUGAACCAGCCAAGCCGCGUGAAGGAAGAAGGUGCUACGCAUUGUAAACUUCUUUUGUCAAGGGACAAAAUCGGGCUCGUGAGCCCGACUGAGGGUACUUGAAGAAAAAGCAUCGGCUAACUCCGUGCCAGCAGCCGCGGUAAUACGGAGGAUGCGAGCGUUAUCCGGAUUUAUUGGGUUUAAAGGGUGCGUAGGCGGACUGUUAAGUCAGCGGUAAAAGCCCGGGGCUCAACCCCGGCGAGCCGUUGAAACUGGCGGACUAGAGAGGAAGAGAAGUAGGCGGAAUGCGCGGUGUAGCGGUGAAAUGCUUAGAUAUCGCGCAGAACUCCGAUUGCGAAGGCAGCCUACCGGCUUCUAUCUGACGCUCAGGCACGAAAGCGUGGGUAUCGAACAGGAUUAGAUACCCUGGUAGUCCACGCAGUAAACGAUGAAUACUAAUUGUCCGGGCAGAAUGAUGCCUGGGUGAUACAGCGAAAGCGUUAAGUAUUCCACCUGGGGAGUACGCCGGCAACGGUGAAACUCAAAGGAAUUGACGGGGGC
rnacentral:rRNA from 1 species